rnacentral:tRNA from 1 species
AGUCUUAUAGUUUAAUAAAAACUUUAAAUUGCAAAUUUAAAAAUGUAUGUCUGUUCUAACUAAGACUU